GGUUGCAAAUCAAUAACACUCCAAAGCAGUAGGUGGCAGUAAUGAGCACAUUCCCCUCUCUUGAAGGCCACGGUCAAAGGUGAGUGAGUCCCCGACUCUGGCUGGCAAAGAGGAGUCGACAUUUUGAAAAGAAAUUUCAAGUGUGGAAGAAGCUAACUGCUGAAUUUAAGAGGAUUACAACCGUCAGUUUGCUGUCAAAGUUCUUCUCCCAGCUGGAUGCUAAUUCUUGAUGAGGGCGUUUGGCAAGAAAGGCGGCGUUCAAGGAAGAAAGAUAAGGAGCAUCAAGAUACCCAUCACCAAGACUGACGCCAUUGAUGUCAAAAGAGAGUGCAUCAUCAAAGCCCUGUGUGUGUACCUGAAUGAAGAGCCCGAGAACCUUGUGAAAGAAUACAUGAACACAGAUGGAGGAG